GGAGAGCCACCCCAGGCAGCCUAGGAACUGAGAGCAGAUGAAAGUCCAGGCCCAGAAAGACCCUGCGUCGUCGCACCACAGGAACCAGAAAUAACGGCCUCCCUGAGUCAUCUUUCAGGAGUUCCAGGUUACUGCAGAAGCCUCCAUCCGCCCAACACCUUCCAACGAAGUUACAAAUGUGUACGCAAUAGCAAUCCUGUGAGAAACAGAGGCUCCCACCCAGCCUGGAUUAAAUGAAUAAACACAUGGGAACACGGAAAAAUGAAUCCAUGUGAGUAUUCUCUUUUCCCUCCAAUCCCUCAUGCAUGCUAGUCAGCUCCUCUACCAUCACCCUCCAGCCACAGCCCUGAGUGAAUGUUUUUACUGGACUGGACAAAGGCAUUGUGGAAGUGUGUGAAUAUCAGCUGAGCCCCGAAGGAGCAGUUGGAUGUUGAAAAGGCAUUCCAGACCACAGAAAUGGAACAAGUUAGUGUCCACGGUGGACUGACAGAAUGACUCAGUGGGUAGAAGUACCCCGCAGCCACACUUGAUGACCUUGCUUUGACCCCCGGGAUUUACACAAUGGAAAGAGUAAACCAACUCCUACGAGUUGUCCGACCUCCACAGGAGUGCUGUGGGGCACGUACACACAUACACGCACAUACAUGCACCACAGCAAAUAACUAAGUAAGCGAAUAAACAUAAUAAAAAAAAUAUGUCCAAGUUCAUGAAA